rnacentral:rRNA from 1 species
GACGAACGCUGGCGGCGUGCCUAACACAUGCAAGUCGAACGAGAAUCUUUGAACAGAUCUUUUCGGAGUGACGUUCAAAGAGGAAAGUGGCGGACGGGCGAGUAACGCGUGAGUAACCUGCCCAUAAGAGGGGGAUAAUCCAUGGAAACGUGGACUAAUACCGCAUAUUGUAGUUAAGUUGCAUGACUUGAUUAUGAAAGAUUUAUCGCUUAUGGAUGGACUCGCGUCAGAUUAGAUAGUUGGUGAGGUAACGGCUCACCAAGUCAACGAUCUGUAGCCGAACUGAGAGGUUGAUCGGCCGCAUUGGGACUGAGACACGGCCCAGACUCCUACGGGAGGCAGCAGUGGGGAAUAUUGCGCAAUGGGGGCAACCCUGACGCAGCAACGCCGCGUGCAGGAAGAAGGUCUUCGGAUUGUAAACUGUUGUCGCAAGGGAAGAAGACAGUGACGG